rnacentral:rRNA from 1 species
GACGAACGCUGGCGGCGUGCUUAACACAUGCAAGUCGAACGAAGUGGCGAACGGGUGAGUAACGCGUAAUCAACCUGCCCUUCAGAGGGGGACAACAGUUGGAAAAGACGGAUAAUAACGCAGACUGAAGGAGGGGAUUGCGUCUGAUUAGCUAGUGGGAGGGGUAACGGCCCACCAAGGCGAUGAUCAGUAGCCGGUCUGAGAGGAUGAACGGCCACAUUGGGACUGAGACACGGCCCAGACUCCUACGGGAGGCAGCAGUGGGUAAUCUUCCGCAAUGGACGAAAGUCUGACGGAGCAACGCCGCGUGAGUGAUGACGGCCUUCGGGUUGUAAAGCUCUUUUAAUCGGGACGCGGUACCGGAAUAGAAAGCCACGGCUAACUACGUGCCAGCCGCCGCGGUAAUAC